rnacentral:rRNA from 1 species
UACGUAGGGGGCAAGCGUUGUCCGGAUUUACUGGGCGUAAAGAGCGCGUAGGCGGAAGUUUAAGCGGCGCUUGAAAGCCCCCGGCUCAACCGGGGAGGGUGGUGCCGAACUGGACUUCUUGAGGGCGAUAGAGGAGAGUGGAAUUCCGGGUGUAGCGGUGAAAUGCGUAGAGAUCCGGAGGAACACCAGUGGCGCAGGCGGCUCACUGGCUCAUUACUGACGCUCAGGCGCGACAGCGUGGGGAUCAAACAGGG